ACUCAAAUGGAAUUUCCAGAUGGUUGCCUUCUCUAAGGGUCCCUCACUCCCAGAGGCCUGUGCUCAUAAAAGUCAAGUCCAUUCUUCCUGGAGUACAAAGUCACAACAUAGGAGGUCUCGGCUGCUUGUUGGUUGGGGCAGCUGGGUGUGAUGUUUCAGGAGAUUAUUACAAAUUCCCUGGCACUGUCCACAUUGAAUGGAGGUUGAGAUCUAUCAACUGGACCAACCAGGCUCCUUUCCUUUCUGAAGUGCAGAGGGUGCCAGAGGAGAUAGAG